GAUGAACGCUGGCGGCGUGCCUAAUACAUGCAAGUCGAGCGAACAGACGAGGAGCUUGCUCCUCUGACGUUAGCGGCGGACGGGUGAGUAACACGUGGAUAACCUACCUAUAAGACUGGGAUAACUUCGGGACACCGGAGCUAAUACCGGAUAAUAUAUUGAACCGCAUGGUUCAAUAGUGAAAGACGGUUUUGCUGUCACUUAUAGAUGGAUCCGCGCCGCAUUAGCUAGUUGGUAAGGUAACGGCUUACCAAGGCGACGAUGCGUAGCCGACCUGAGAGGGUGAUCGGCCACACUGGAACUGAGACACGGUCCAGCCUCCUACGGGAGGCAGCAGUAGGGAAUCUUCCGCAAUGGGCGAAAGCCUGACGGAGCAACGCCGCGUGAGUGAUGAAGGUCUUCGGAUUGUAAAACUCUGUUAUUAGGGAAGAACAAAUGUGUAAGUAACUAUGCACGUCUUGACGGUACCUAAUCAGAAAGCCACGGCUAACUACGUG
rnacentral:rRNA from 1 species